rnacentral:rRNA from 1 species
UACGAAGGUGGCAAGCGUUGUUCGGAUUUACUGGGCGUACAGGGAGCGUAGGCGGUUGGAUAAGCCCUCCGUGAAAUCUCCAGGCUUAACCUGGAAAGUGCAGAGGGGACUGUUCAGCUAGAGGAUGGGAGAGGAGCGCGGAAUUCCCGGUGUAGCGGUGAAAUGCGUAGAGAUCGGGAGGAAGGCCGGUGGCGAAGGCGGCGCUCUGGGCCGGUACUGACGCUGAGGAGCGAAAGCGUGGGGAGCGAACAGG